AUUGAACGCUGGCGGCAGGCCUAACACAUGCAAGUCGAGCGGAGCGUCGGACGGGUGAGUAAUGCCUAGGACUCUGCCUGGCUGUGGGGGAUCACGUCCGGCAACGGGCGCUAAUACCUCAUACUCUCCGAUGAGCCUCGGUCGGAUGAGCUAGUUGGUGGGGUAAAGGACUACCAAGGCGACGAUCCGUAACUGGUCUGAGAGGAUGAUAAGUCACACUGGAACUGAGAAACGGUCCAGACUCAUACGGAGGACAGCAGUGGGGAAUAUUGUACAAUGGGCGAAAGCCUGGUCCGGGCAUGCCGCGUAUGGUACAAAGGUCUUUGGAUUGUAAAGCACUUUAAGUUGGGAGGCGUUACCAACAGAAUAAGCACCGGGUAACUUCGUGCCAGCAGCCGCGGUAAUAC
rnacentral:rRNA from 1 species